UUGUUUUGCCGAGCCCUCGCUUUGUGACCGUCCGAUGGACUGGAUCAGAAUAUGGUCGCGCGAGUCGUUCCGACAGCAAGUGAGAAAACCGGUAGUUCUUCACGGAACUCCGCACACCCGGCGCGGGCGCGCCUCCUUCAUCCCCCUUCCUCUGCUUCACCGGCGACCGCCGCCGCGCCCAUCACCUUCCGCCGCUCCACCGGCAAGCAUCGCCCUGCCCCUCCACAUCCUUCGCUCCAUCGGCAAGCGCUACUGCGCCCCGCACCUUCCUCCCGCUCGACGGUGAGGGCCGCCCGCCCCCCCUCUUCUCCCGCAGGAUCGACUGCUCGCCGCCCUGGCUUGGGGAUUGGGGCACCACGGGGGAUUUACCGGCGCGCUCCUCCCCCUGAUCGACCAAUCUCCCGACACCUCAGCUGUCCGAGUCCCCGGCGAACUCGCACCCCAGAUCUCUUCCGUGAAAUUCUGCCGUGGCGGUUCUCCCUCCCCUACUUCCCGAGAUCUCCAGCACCGCUCCUGGCCUCCCCUACAUCACAAGCUCACUGGGGCCUACAAAUCUUGGUUCCCCUUCUAGGGAGAGGAGAGGGAGGACGUGUGUGUGUGGUGCUGGGCGGAUGGGGUUUCUGCAUUCAGUGCUCCCGGCCAUGCGCCUCCUCCACCACCUAUACCGUGCACGGUAGUGGUCACAUCCAUGCUGCUGGGCAGCGCAAAAUGCUACACUGGUGCUCAAGUCUGAGGCGAAACUCCUACGGUGCACACAGCUUUAUUUUAAGACAUCCAUAGGUGUACAGAGAGAUGGGGUGCGGCAGCAGAUAUGAUCUAUCAGUACCAAACACCAGUGACCAAGGUGAACCUAUCUACUGCUAGGUUAUUGAUUGUUGGAACUUAAGCAAGAUGAAGCAUAAAACUUGGGAAGUAUGUACAGCUGGCCUGAUUUGUGCACAUAAUACCAUCUAAGAGUGUUGAUGCCUUAAACAAGUCCUUUGUAAAAUUAGCAUUAAAAAUUCAUGCUUGUGUGUCAAUCCCAUUGUAGUUUUACUGACUCUUGAAUCUCAUCAUAGUUUUUUUCAUGUAUGCACUAUGCUCAGAGGUAUGAGGAGAUGCUAGUACUUUCCUCCCGUUAUGUCGCUUUUCCAUUGGUUGUCACACGGGGCCUCUAGUGUUGUGCCUCGUGUCGUGGCACACAUCACAUGCCGGGGUUGAUCGAGGUGGAGCUACACCUCAGGGCGUUGGCUGCCACAAAGACAACAAAUUGUUUUUUCGGACAUCUUCUAAGUUGUAUUUUUAUCGGCGAUGUUAUUGGUUCCGCAUGUGAGAUAAGUUGUAAUCUUACACAAUGAAUUAUAGACUCACGUGUUUGCUAAGUUGUAUACUCACUAUUACUAAUUUGUAUACCCCUAUUGUAAAGUUGCUUGUCCUACCUGUGAAGUUCCAUACCUCUACGCCUAAGUGUGAGCAAUUAAUUAUUUUUAAGGAGUGCAACAAUUGUGUCUUCUCUAGGUGCAACCUAGUAGGGGAUGACGCAACUAAAACAUUACUGACAACAAAUUGUUUAAAUAGUGCGGCAACUAUAGCAUCCACCAA